AAAUGAGCAGAAAUGAACAAUUAAAAUCCCACGUAUUAGACGUCGCUGUUGCUCUGUUUCAAUCAAACCCUGUGUUAACCUCAAUUUUUAAACUGUAUUAUUCUGCAUACGAUGGAUAAUUGACAAGUUUUCUUCUGAAAUUAUUUGGUUCAACGAGUUUGUUCGCCGUCACGUUCCAGUCCUAUACGCUUAAAAGGUCGCUCGCAUCUUGAACGGCCGGUGCUAGUGUAGAUAAAGACGAUAAAAGACAGUCUGUGGUGUAAAGAGUGAACAGCAACCUG
rnacentral:lncRNA from 1 species